CAUGAAGACAUUUGUCGUUGUGCUGAGGCACUGGUUGGAUUCGGGGGUGCUGUGUCUCCCUCAUGUCCGCCCGGCAUCCUCAGCUCAGAACCCCUCCUGCUGCUCCUUCUUGAUUGGUCGUUGUCUUGUCUUCUUUUGAGGUGAAGUUGAGUCCUCCCUCUUUCUUCCUUGCCUUUCUCCGGCCACACGCCCCUUUGCUGUGCAUGGGCCCCUGCUCAGUGCCUCACCUGACCCACUGCACCUGGCCAGGUGGAGGAGCAUGUCAGCCGCAUCCAGGAGGAGCUGGACCGCGAGCGGGAGGAACGAAACUACUUCCAGCUGGAGCGGGACAAGAUCCACACCUUCUGGGAGAUCACACGGAGGCAGCUGGAGGAGAAGAAGGCUGAGCUGCGGAACAAAGACCGGGAGAUGGAAGAAGCCGAGGAGAGGCACCAGGUGGAGAUCAAGGUGUACAAGCAGAAAGUGAAGCACCUGCUAUAUGAGCACCAGAACAACCUGACAGAGAUGAAGGCUGAGGGCACCGUCGUCAUGAAGCUGGCACAGAAGGAGCACCGCACACAGGAGGGUGUGCUGCGCAAGGACAUGCGGGCACUGAAGGUGGAGCUCAAGGAGCAGGAGCUGGCCAAUGAGGUGGUGGUGAAGAACCUGCGGCUGAAACACACCGAGGAGAUCACCAGGAUGCGGAAUGAUUUUGAGAGGCAAGUUCGAGAAAUUGAGGCCAAGUAUGAUAAGAAGAUGAAGAUGCUGAGGGACGAGCUCGACCUGCGGAGAAAGACUGAGCUCCAUGAAGUGGAGGAGAGGAAGAAUGGCCAGAUCAACACGCUGAUGCAGCGCCACGAGGAGGCCUUCACUGACAUUAAGAACUACUACAAUGACAUCACCCUCAACAACCUGGCCCUCAUCAACUCCCUCAAGGUGCUGCGUGUGGGGUGGGCUGGGGAGACACACUCUGCCUGUCCUAGAAUGUGGGCUGCAGACUCCUGGGGAUCCAGACCCCAGCUUUCCACCCCAACACACCCAAUACUUUUUAUAAGAUUAUUUGACAAUGCCCCUUUCAUAUCCUUAACUGAAAUUCCUAAAUAAUGUAACCUAUCUCUACCUAUGUUAAAAGCAGUCAGGAUAUUGCCCUCAUCAUAGUGCAGAGGGGGAAGUCAUAAAGUGUGUUCAGAUUUGUAAAAGCUCAGAUGGAACUGCAGUGAGGGCCGUGAUGUGGCUGGAGUGGAUAGGUGACAUCGUCACUGCAUGCUGGCGGUAACAGGAUUUUCUACAGUAGACAACGGCCCUUGGUGGAAUCUUGAACAAAGUGUAGUCCCUCAGUCUGCAUGGAAGCUGCAUUCCCAGAAAACUCAGAAUAAGUUGAAGCUGCAGAAAUACUGUUUAUACAUAGAACAGGUCUAGAUGCCAGCAUGCCUGAGGCUGGCAGGAACCGGUGAUGGGCAGGAGAGUACCCAGCUCUCACCAUGCAGGCCACAGCCCCUUUGGUUCUGCCUGAGCCCCUGCCGGGCCUGCGCUUGUGCCUGCAGGAGCAGAUGGAGGACAUGCGGAAGAAGGAGGACCACCUGGAGAGGGAGAUGGCAGAGGUGUCUGUGCAGAACAAGCGCCUGGCAGACCCUCUCCAGAAGGCUCGGGAGGAGAUGAGCGAGAUGCAGAAGCAGCUGGCAAACUACGAGAGGGACAAGCAGAUCCUGCUUUGCACAAAAGCCCGUUUGAAAGUCACGGAGAAGGAGCUGAAAGACCUGCAGUGGGAGCAUGAAGUGUUAGAGCAACAAUUCACCAAGGUGCAGCAGGAGCGGGAUGAGCUUUAUCGGAAGUUCACUGCAGCCAUCCAGGAGGUGCAGCAGAAGACAGGCUUCAAGAACCUGGUGCUAGAACGCAAGCUGCAGGCUCUGAGCGCUGCUGUGGAGAAGAAGGAGGUGCAGUUCAACGAGGUCCUGGCUGCCUCUAACCUGGACCCUGCAGCCCUGACGCUGGUGUCCCGCAAGCUUGAGGAUGUUCUGGAAUCGAAGAACAGCACCAUCAAGGACCUGCAGUAUGAGCUGGCCCGGGUCUGUAAGUGCUGCGCACAUAUGAGGCAAAGCUCCUGGCCUUCGGGAUCCCUCUGGACAACGUGGGCUUCAAGCCCUUGGAAACAGCUGUGAUCGGACAGAUGCUGGGCCAGGGUCCCGCGGGACUGGUGGGCACCCCGACGUAGCUGCCCCCCUGGGGGGCCACAGCCCAGAGAGCCAGCCUAGGAACACUCUCGGGAUGACACCCCUUUUCACACCAAGGACAGCACGUUUUUUAGAUUUUAUCAUCAGCAAAUGAAAGCUUUUCACAUGUUCUUGCCAGCCUCUUUCUGGCUCUGUGGAGGACCCUCACCCAUGGCGUCCCUGUCGCUCCCUUCCGUGGAGGAGAACCACCUGCAGGACCCUCACCCAUGGCGUCCCUGUUGCUCCCUUCCCUGGGUGCAGCACGUCCAGCCUGUGUCCAGGCCUACUCCCUGGCCUCACCUCCGACCACAGUCAGCAGCAUCUUCUCAGAGUGCCCCGCACUCACCUGGGGGCUCAGGCCGUGCCGCGCUGUGCUGCGUGUCUCACUCACCUGGGGCUCAGGCAGUGCCGCGCUGUGCUGCCUGUCUUCACGCCACUGUUGUCCCAUCGAAUGGAUAGCUUUGCAGGUGCUGGCACUGACUUUAUUGACACCUGAGUCACAGCUGCCCAGUGGGAUUCUCCAGGGGGCCAGGAGUUCCCUAGGAAGUGGUGAGCCAGUGCUCCCUGAUGAGCACGAAGCCCGCUCUGUUGAGGGCUGGGUGGGCGCAGCCAGCGUGUGGGAAAGGGCAGGCAGCCUCCCGCUGCCAGUCUUUGCUCUAGCUCCCUCGGUAGGUGGUGUAGGACCAGGGGCUCAGCAGCAGGGGCACGUGGAACUUCUGGGCCUUGCUGGUGAUGGUGAAAACAACCUGAGACGGAGAGGCCAGGAGAGUAUAAGGGGAUGGCAGCAAACCACCUAUCUGGCCCCAACACCGCUGGGAGAAUUCAGCAGCCCAGACUGAGGGUCUGGGAUGGGGUGAACCUUCCGCACCAGAGGGACACUCCACAGAAGCCACAGCCCAGCAAGUCAGGUGCUCCUGUGGUGGCUCCAGUGUGGGGUGAGGCAGUGAGGUUAGGCCCCGAGAGCUGGAGUUGGCUCAGAUGAAAACCUCUGUCAACAAAGAGGGGAUGAAUCACCCUUGGCCCAGCCUCCCCACAAAGCCUGACCCUGGGCAGGUGAGUGACGGGUGUGUCCUCAUAGAGUCUGUUGCUGCCUGGACACCUUUCUUUUGGGAGCUCAAAGCAAGUGAGCUCACCUACCUGCCACCACCCAGGACCAGUCUGCCCACUGCCUAAAUGAUGCCCGGCCAGCAGGACCUGGCCUGCAGAUCCCAGUGAGUCAUGGGCCUCAGCCCCCUCCAGCCCACUGGGGCUCUCACCUCCACAUAUGGGUAGAAGCUUUCCUGUCCCCUCUUCCUCCAGUAGCCCUCGGUGUCGAAGGUGAGCUUGUAAGUGCCUGCCUUCAUCUGGUCCGGCGUCAGGAGUCCAGGACAACGGCCAUCUGGGUCUGUGUAGCUGGGGAGAGGAUGAGGCUGCAGAGAUGGGGACCAGAAGCCCCUCACCCCAGCUUUCCUGGGUCUGCAUCCCAGUGGGCCUCAGACACUGCCCUGCCACCUGUCAGACUUGGGUGAGCAGACACAGUGAGGCUGUUAGGGCCUGCAGUUCCAGAGCAGUCUAGGGACACCACUGCCCUGUCUUUAGGAAAUCACAACACAGAGAAGCAAAAAGGGAAAAAGUCUCCCACAAUUUAUCCCAUGAGCAAUAACCACUUUAUAGCUGGCAUAUAUUUUUCCAGAUUUUUCUCUAUGCAUAAGUAUAUUUGUUUACAAACUUAAAAUAACUCAUAAAGUGGAUUAUACUAUUU
rnacentral:sRNA from 1 species